AAAUUGAAGAGUUUGAUCAUGGCUCAGAUUGAACGCUGGCGGCAGGCCUAACACAUGCAAGUCGAACGGUAACAGGAAGCAGCUUGCUGCUUUGCUGACGAGUGGCGGACGGGUGAGUAAUGUCUGGGAAACUGCCUGGUGGAGGGGGAUAACUACUGGAAACGGUAGCUAAUACCGCAUAACGUCGCAAGACCAAAGAGGGGGACCUUCGGGCCUCUUGCCAUCGGAUGUGCCCAGAUGGGAUUAGCUAGUAGGUGGGGUAACGGCUCACCUAGGCGACGAUCCCUAGCUGGUCUGAGAGGAUGACCAGCCACACUGGAACUGAGACACGGUCCAGACUCCUACGGGAGGCAGCAGUGGGGAAUAUUGCACAAUGGGCG
rnacentral:rRNA from 1 species